rnacentral:rRNA from 1 species
AUUGAACGCUGGCGGCAGGCCUAACACAUGCAAGUCGAGCGGCAGCACGGGUACUUGUACUUGGUGGCGAGCGGCGGACGGGUGAGUAAUGCCUAGGAAUCUGCCUGGUAGUGGGGGAUAACGCUCGGAAACGGACGCUAAUACCGCAUACGUCCUACGGGAGAAAGCAGGGGACCUUCGGGCCUUGCGCUAUCAGAUGAGCCUAGGUCGGAUUAGCUAGUUGGUGAGGUAAUGGCUCACCAAGGCGACGAUCCGUAACUGGUCUGAGAGGAUGAUCAGUCACACUGGAACUGAGACACGGUCCAGACUCCUACGGGAGGCAGCAGUGGGGAAUAUUGGACAAUGGGCGAAAGCCUGAUCCAGCCAUGCCGCGUGUGUGAAGAAGGUCUUCGGAUUGUAAAGCACUUUAAGUUGGGAGGAAGGGCAUUUACCUAAUACGUAAGUGUUUUGACGUUACCGACAGAAUAAGCACCGGCUAACUCUGUGCCAGCAGCCGCGGUAAUACAGAGGGUGCAAGCGUUAAU